rnacentral:lncRNA from 1 species
CCCAAAAGGAGAAGCAGAAGCUUCCGUGCUUAGAAGUGCUACAGCAUUACAUCCACUAUAUGCCUCCCCGGGGCUUAGGUGGAUACAACACAGAUGGCUCGUUUUGAUGGAGAGAAUGACAAGUGCAUACUGGGAGGGAAGGAAUAGGUGGUAUCAUCUUUGGAUACUGCUGACCACAGCAUCUUCCUGCCUAAAGAACAGGAAUCUGAAACAUAGCACCUACCUCUGAAGACACUAAACAAAAUGCACAAAAUGUCUAUUUGGACCAGAAGGAGCAUUUGAGACUGUCAGUGGCUGUCUUCAAGGGUUCAGAGAACUGAUGUGAUUCCCUCCUCUGCUAUAUUUCUGGAAAAGCAGUUCACCGACCAACUCUAACUAGAGGAAACUUGGGCUGACACUGAACAUUCACUUCGUGCUUUCCCAAAGCCUAAGGGAGCUUUGUGGAAGGGAGGCAUGAUCAAAUGGAAAGAACAUGGCUUUGAGCCUAACAAAGGGUUUAGACUCCUCCGCCUGCCAGAACAGUGAUUCCACCUCUCUUGGAACAGUCAUAUCUGCUGAGAAGUUUAAGGAAGGAACCUUGAGAAAGCAUCAGAGGUGGCUUUGGAGGUGGAAUCUAAAGAAACUAGAGGAGAGAAGAAAGGAAGAAUGGAUUACAAAAGAUGAGCAAGAUGCCUGGAAUUUCACACGUACAUCAUCUCUUUGGGUCACAGAGAAAGCCAUGCUUGAUUAACACUGAGGAUUUGCGUGCGACCUAUGGCUGGUGUCCAAUGACUUCUCCCAUUUUCAGAACACUUCUGUAAUGUUGCCGUCAGUGGUGAAUAUAUGACAUCCAAGGAAAGGUGAGGCCCUGACACUAAGAGGAAUACAAUGACCAGUCCAAGAGGACAACCCAGAACUGGACUUCUGGGGCCUGACUGAACUGGAUUGAGGUAUCGGACACGCUUUUACAGAGGCUAUUUAGGAGGUAGAUUUUAUGAGCCUCAUUUUGCCAAUGAUAACACUAGGGCACAGAGAGGUUCAGCAACCCGCCCAAGGCCACACAGCCAGGAAGGAGCAGGAUCUGACCCCAGUCUGCCUGACUCCGGAGCCCAUGCUUGCAAACAUUCCACUGAACCACAGGCUGCCUGACUCCGGAGCCCAUGCUUGCAAACAUUCGUAAUCCCUGCUGAAUGAUUUCAGCUCUCCUGCUGUCUUCCCCCACCUCACUGUCUCGCGAUGGACGUUCACAUUUCCCGGCUGGCCCAGAAGCUGCGAUAGGGUGUUAUGAGCUGUUAGCUUAAGAGGGGUGAAGCCCUGUGAAAAGAAAACACACUUGCUCCCCUUCCUCAGCUGCGCUGGUCUUUCCUCCAGCUGAUCUUUCUCCUGUUAUAUAAAUGGAAUGUUAUACAAAUGUUUCCACCAUGAGUUUCCUUUCAAAAGAUGAA